AACGAACGCUGGCGGCAUGCCUAACACAUGCAAGUCGAACGAGACCUUCGGGUCUAGUGGCGCACGGGUGCGUAACGCGUGGGAACUUGCCCUUAGGUUCGGAAUAACUCCCCGAAAGGGGUGCUAAUACCGGAUAAUGUCUUCGGACCAAAGAUUUAUCGCCUUUGGAUGGGCCCGCGUUGGAUUAGCUAGUUGGUAGGGUAAAAGCCUACCAAGGCGACGAUCCAUAGCUGGUCUGAGAGGAUGAUCAGCCACACUGGGACUGAGACACGGCCCAGACUCCUACGGGAGGCAGCAGUGGGGAAUAUUGGACAAUGGGCGAAAGCCUGAUCCAGCAAUGCCGCGUGAGUGAUGAAGGCCUUAGGGUUGUAAAGCUCUUUUACCCGGGAUGAUAAUGACAGUACCGGGAGAAUAAGCUCCGGCUAACUACGUG
rnacentral:rRNA from 1 species